AAGUCUUUGGAAAUCAUGUGGGAACCUGAUGCUCCAGGAGAGAAAAAAUUCCCAUCGCAGCAAGUGACCGGACAGAACUGGUUUAUGACAAGUCAGCUCACAGUCCCUUCCUCCAGCUUCUCAAAAGUACCUUACAAAUGCCUUGCCAAGGCAAAGUCAAAUGGAAAAGCAUCUGAUCUUCCCUCGGCCACCUUCACAAACCAAUAUUGCGUUUGGCAGCCUCUGAAGCCAGUUGACAUUCAGAUCUUAACACCCAGUUGCAGCAAACAGGGCUCAGAGGCCAACGUGGAGCUGGUGUGCUUCUUAAGAAGCCUUAGUGGCGGAAAAGCUGAAGUGGAAUGGCUGAAGAAUGGAGUAGAGAUCCAGAAGAAAGUAGAGGUGGCAUUGAAAGCUGAUGCAGGGAAGGGUGGUGGUUACUCCAGUUUCAUCCACAUGAACAUCAGCAAAGAGAGUUGGGACAAAGGGGACCGCUACACCUGUAAAGUGACUCGCCCGCCAGGCAGCCAAAACAUAACAACGCAGAAUGCCAGCAAAUGUCAAGGUGAGGAUUACCACCUAAGAGAUUAUGGGCUACAGAGUGAUGGAUGA